rnacentral:sRNA from 1 species
UGACCUUCACCGGAGGAAACCGCCAUCUA